rnacentral:rRNA from 1 species
GACGAACGCUGGCGGCGUGCCUAAUACAUGCAAGUAGAACGCUGAAGAGAGGAGCUUGCUCUUCUUGGAUGAGUUGCGAACGGGUGAGUAACGCGUAGGUAACCUGCCUGGUAGCGGGGGAUAACUAUUGGAAACGAUAGCUAAUACCGCAUAAAAUGGAUUAUCGCAUGAUAAUCCAUUGAAAGGUGCAAAUGCAUCACUACCAGAUGGACUUGCGUUGUAUUAGCUAGUUGGUGGGGUAACGGCUCACCAAGGCGACGAUACAUAGCCGACCUGAGAGGGGGAUCGGCCACACUGGGACUGGGACACGGCCCAGACUCCUACGGGAGGCAGCAGGAGGGAAACUUCGGCAAUGGAGGGAAGUCUGACCGAGCAACGCCGCGGGAGUGAAGAAGGUUUUCGGAUCGGAAAGCUCUGUUGUAAGAGAAGAACGAGUGGGGGAGUGGAAAGUGCACACUGUGACGGUAUCUUACCAGAAAGGGACGGCUAACUACGUG